GAUGAACGCUGGCGGCGUGCCUAAUACAUGCAAGUCGAGCGAACAGACGAGGAGCUUGCUCCUCUGACGUUAGCGACGGACGGGUGAGUAACACGUGGAUAACCUACCUAUAAGACUGGGAUAACUUCGGGAAACCGGAGCUAAUACCGGAUAAUAUAUUGAACCGCAUGGUUCAAUAGUGAAAGACGGUUUUGCUGUCACUGAUAGAUGGAUCCGCGCCGCAUUAGCUAGUUGGUAAGGUAACGGCUUACCAAGGCGACGAUGCGUAGCCGACCUGAGAGGGUGAUCGGCCACACUGGAACUGAGACACGGUCCAGACUCCUACGGGAGGCAGCAGUAGGGAAUCUUCCGCAAUGGGCGAAAGCCUGACGGAGCAACGCCGCGUGAGUGAUGAAGGUCUUCGGAUCGUAAAACUCUGUUAUUAGGGAAGAACAAAUGUGUAAGUAACUAUGCACGUCUUGACGGUACCUAAUCAGAAAGCCACGGCUAACUACGUG
rnacentral:rRNA from 1 species